rnacentral:lncRNA from 1 species
CUGUAAUAUUUGAUCAAUUUGAUGCAUUCUUGCUACAGUAAAUAAAAGUAUUACAAAAAAAAACUUUCUGACGCCAACAUUUUGAACAGUAGUUUAAUAGGUAAGCAGCUACUACAUAACAUUAAAACUGACAAAAAGAUUUGUAAUUGAAAUUUAAUGUUUUGACUGUUCUCUUAAUCUGAGUGUAGUUGAGCCAAACGUGGGUACUUUUUUUUUUUCACACUUCCACACCAUCGCUCGUAACCUUGCCUCUGAUUCACUGAAUGGAGCCGAUGACCCCUCCAUUUCUUUGGUGAAGCUCUCCUACGGUUGUGAGGGGACGUUUAUGAAGGUUUGCGCUGAAAGUAGAGACUCUACUAGCGCACGCCCGAUGUUCUGCGUUCCCCUCACCGUGCCCCUCGGAGAUGCACCACCUACAGAUGCUGGUGUGGGAUCUACGGCAACAACAGUGGCCAUAUAAUUAUGAUUGCAUCCCAUCUCUUGUGCGAUAACCAUUUGGUUCAGGUCAGGAUAUAUGUUCACAAUGACUCCAAUUUUCAUUUUAGUUCAGUUAGCUCAGUCAACAGAAUUUAUGAUGGCAUGUUUUACUUUCACAUCCUACUGCACUGCUAACUCUUGGUCUUUGUUUUAAUUAAUAAGUAGAUAUGAGAAGCUCCUAACUUAUACACCCAACCCCCAUCAUGAUAAUUUAACAACUAAGUAACAUUAAUUAUAUUUCUGAGCUCUGGAUUUUAUAUUGCUUUGUAUAGCUUAAAAUGUUUACUAAAAGGAAAAUAAAAUGGAAUAAAACUAAAUAUUGUUGUUCUUUGUUAGGGGAACAGACUUGCAAAUGCGUUUUA